UACGGAGGGGGCUAGCGUUGUUCGGAAUUACUGGGCGUAAAGCGCACGUAGGCGGCUUUGUAAGUUAGAGGUGAAAGCCCAAGGCUUAACCCUGGAAUUGCCUUUAAGACUGCAUCGCUAGAAUCGUGGAGAGGUGAGUGGAAUUCCGAGUGUAGAGGUGAAAUUCGUAGAUAUUCGGAAGAACACCAGUGGCGAAGGCGACUCACUGGACACGUAUUGACGCUGAGGUGCGAAAGCUAGGGGAGCAAACGGG
rnacentral:rRNA from 1 species